UUUCUUAUGAAAAUUAUAAGGAUAAAUAUACUAAUGGAGAAUGGCUAAAAGAUUGUGUUUCUUCAUUGCUUGUGGAUCCCGUGUCCAUCGAUCAGGAGAAGUUAUCUGCCAUAUAAAUGAGUGGAGCAUGUCUUAUUAUAGAGUAUCACUACAUAUACUAUUAGAAAAUAAAGUAAUAUGAAAGAAGGGAAUAAAUUGUUAUGAAAAUCAACUCAUCCUACGUCAAAUGUCGUGUCAUAGUGCUUUCACUUGUUUAAUUAUCAAUGUAAUGAGGUGUAAUUGUUUUAAAUUUGUACUUGUUCCAUUUUUCUAUGCCAGCUCUUUAGUUUGUUUAUGAAUUUGUUAAAAUAAUUUACCACUCAAUCUAAUCUAAUACUACUUAGCUAUGUUAAUAUCCAGAUUUAAAUAACACCAUUUGUGAAGGUUUUCUUUUUAAUGGUUUAUCCUCUCUCUUAGCUCUUCCUCUCACCUCUUCAUCCACUUUCCUUACUCACAUGAUUGUCCACUUGCUAGUUUAACAUUAAAUCAAAAACUGUGGCAUACUCACUCUGUCAGUCAGAGCAGUCCUUGUCAGACAGUCAUUUUAUGUUAGAGUAGUGAUAAUUUGACACCCAAUGCUCCAAAUUACAUUCACUUUAUGUCUAAUAUUUUACAAAAAUACCCCUAUCACAUAAGUAAUUUAAAGGUGUAAUUUGGAGCAAAGGAAAAAAUGGGAUGUGAUUUUUCUUUAUGUUAUUGUUCUGUUGUAAAUAACUAAAUUGGUUAGAUCUAAGUAACUAUAGUACCCUGUAAAAAGCAAUCAGUCCUUCCUCUCAAACCAUAUCAAUAAUAUAUUUUUUUCAUAUUUCUCUUUAUUCUCUUAAAGCCAUAUCAAAACAAACAAAGCGUUUAAAAUUAAUCAUAUUCAUUACCUAAGGAAGGGAGAAGGAACUGAUGAAAUGAAAUUGAGAAACCGAGGAGAAUGAGAGAAGAGACCAAGAGAGCACCAACAAGGUAAUAAAAUGGCGACGUUUCUGGUGGCUACUCUGUACAUUGCGGUUAUUGGAAGUGAGCAUUGUCAUCUUCGAUAAAAAAACCCGGCUAUAUUUCAAACUGGUAGAUAAAGUAUUUGAAAUCCAGAAUAUGAUAAACAUACAGCCAAUACCUUCUCGUUUGAACAAAUCACGAACAGGCACUGAUGGAGACCCAUUUUUUUUUACCAACAUUAGAAUUAACAAGUUCUGUACCAAAUCAACGACAGAAUCACUCAAAACAAAAUUAUCAGCAAUUUAAUGUGAAAAUCAAACAGAAAUCAAUCAUAAAAAACGAAACCGUAACGAACAUCUAUUUAAAAACACUAAUCCAUUGGUUUAAAUGUGAGAGAUACACAUGGAUUAAAAUAAAAUCAAAACGAAACUAAAAUCAAAUCAAAUCAAAUCGAAAAAAAAAACCCUACCUAAUUGUAAGAACAAGUGAUACAGCAGACCAGAUUCAAGUACAUGCGUUUGAGAUCAUUGAUAAUAAAUGCGAGUCACAAAGCACGAGAUAGAGUAGAGAGCAUAUAAGGUUAUGAGAAAAGCUUACGAGAUAGUCA
rnacentral:lncRNA from 1 species